rnacentral:rRNA from 1 species
GAUGAACGCUCGCUACAGGCUUAACACAUGCAAGUCGAGGGGCAGCAUGAUUGAAGCUUGCUUCAAUCGAUGGCGACCGGCGCACGGGUGAGUAACACGUAUCCAACCUGCCGAUAACUCGGGGAUAGCCUUUCGAAAGAAAGAUUAAUACCCGAUAGUAUAGUAUUUCCGCAUGGUUUCACUAUUAAAGAACUUCGGUUAUCGAUGGGGAUGCGUUCCAUUAGAUAGUUGGCGGGGUAACGGCCCACCAAGUCAACGAUGGAUAGGGGUUCUGAGAGGAAGGUCCCCCACAUUGGAACUGAGACACGGUCCAAACUCCUACGGGAGGCAGCAGUGAGGAAUAUAGGUCAAUGGACGAGAGUCUGAACCAGCCAAGUAGCGUGAAGGAUGACUGCCCUAUGGGUUGUAAACUUCUUUUAGACGGGAAUAAAGUGGAGUAUGCAUACUCCUUUGUAUGUACCGUAUGAAUAAGGAUCGGCUAACUCCGUG